CUUCUUUCUCUCAUUUCCUCCAUCUGUUUAUCUUGUUUCUCUCUUUUCUCUCUCUAGAAUCUGAAAAAUCUCCCCAAUUUCUUCGGUCUCUUUGAUUAAACCCUAGAAAAAAUCAAAUUCCUCUAUUAAUUUGUGAUUAUCUCGCUUAGAUCUCUUUGAAAUAUCUCUGAAAUCUCUUUGAAAACUCGAUUAUGUGUUGAAUUUUUUCGUUUUCUUGAGUUUGGGUGUUGGAUCUUGUUUUCUGGGUUUUCUGGGUUGUGGAUCUCGUUUUCUGGGUAUGGAUCUUGUUUUCUGGACUUUCUAGGUUGAAGAUCUUGGUUUUGUGGGUUGAAGAUCUUGUUUUCUAGGUUGAUGAAUUCAAAGAAAACUGAGAGUUUUCAUGGGUUUUCUUCUCCCGGUGAUAACGUCGCCAAGACGGAGACGUACGAGUAAGAGUUCACCGAGGAACACUGUGAUCUUGGCGAGUAUUGUGAAGGCGAGCACAAUUACAACCGUGAAUACCUCCGGUAUUUACACCGGAUAUACGACUCUAUCUGUGUACAGAGACGUACGAGUAAGAGUGCACCGAGGAGCACUGUGAUCUUGGCGAGUAUUGUGAAGGCGAGCACAACUACAACCGUGAAUACCCCCAGUAUUUACACCGUAUAUACGACUCUAUCUAUGCUUCUCCUUCUACCGGAUCUGAAAAAACAGUGGAAGAAAAACCACUGCCGUCGCCGCCGUCCCCUGGUGGAGGGUCAAAAACCUUAAUUCCUGAUGUUGAGGUUGAUCAACCACCACCAAAGUACCCUGGUGGUGAAUCUGAAGGCGUGCAUGGGGGGGGGUGUCUGAAACCUUAACUUCUGGGAAACCACCGCAAUCAGUGGUGGUGAACGAUGGUCCCAAUGACGGUGGUGAAAAAUCGAAGCGUGCAUUCUCGAGGUCCUAACUGCUUCGGUGUUGCAUGUCUACAAAGGGGAGUUUUCUCUCUCCUCUCUUUCUCUCUCUAUUUCCGACUUUCCCCUUAAUUAGCUAGAUUAGUUAUUGUUGAAAUUGCAGGCCAACAAGAGAUCCACUAGUAAAAAAAGCAUCAAAGGUGGCUAGCCAUGGGUGGCCCUUAUACAAUAAGCGCAUCCUUUGAUGAAAAAUAAAUAAAAAAUCCAAAAUCGUACGUCCCGUGUUUUUGGAAGCGCAGCUUUUGACCAAAAAACUUGUUUUUGUCUCCACUUCUCUUCUUCCUUUCGCUUCUCUAUGCUUCCCUUCCCUUCACUUCACUUCACCGUAAUUGGUCGACUUCACCGGCGACACGAGCUCACCUUCUCUUCACUUCACCGGAAUUUUUCUUCCUUUUUCGUUGUUCUUCCUCUGCUCUUCUCACUCUUCCGGCAAUUCUCGACACUCACACACUCACACACACACUCGCACCGACAAUUCUCGACAAGACCACUACGCAACACCACCGGCAACGCCUGAGUUCGUCUCCCAUCCCAAGUGACCGGCCACCGGAGGCGAACUCGACGGUCGUUGAGCCACCUUCGACCACCGCACUCCUUUCUUCAACCUCUUCAUUCAGAUCUGGAAUUUGUCUUCAAAAGGUCUAACUGGAGAAAUAUUAAUCCACUUGAAUUUAUCGUAUAAUGCCCUUACAGGGGUAAUUCCUGAAUCUUUGGCUCAAUUUCCAUCCUUACAAGUCUUCGAUUUGAGAGAAAACCAGUGGCUCAAUUCCUGUUGCACUGAUGGACAAAGUUAACAGUAGCUCUUUGUCAUUGAGGUUUUCGUAUUUUCUAUAAGAUUCUUUAUAUUCUUUUCUUUAUGGAUGCAUUUCUUAAGGGUUCUAAUUUUUUCUGACUAGAAUAAAGAUAAAACCAGAUCUUUGCAUUUUCAGUUUGGAUACAGAUCUUUGUACUUCAAUUUCAUGCACUGGGAUUAAGAAAAAAAAAAGGCAUAAUGUUUUGCCUCCUUUGGUUGCAAGUACUUCAUUGUUUGUCAUUCUAGUUGUUG